rnacentral:rRNA from 1 species
ACUAACGCUGACGGCGUGCCUAAUCUAUGCAAGUUGAUGGAAUUUUUCGCAAGAAAAAUCCCAUGGCAGACGAGUGAGUAACGCGUAGGAACCAACCCUUUACUUGACCAUAACCGUGCGAAAGCAUGAGUAAUAGUCAAUAGUCUCUUCGGAGUAAAGUUUGCAAUUUAUUGCAAACGGUAGAGGACGGGCCUGCGUCCUAUCAGCUUGUUGGCGGGGUAAUUGCCCACCAAGGCUAUGACGGGUAGGGGGCGUGAGAGCGUGACCCCCCACGAUGGCACUGAGACACGGGCCAUACAUCUACGGAUGGCAGCAAGUAGGAAUAUUGCACAAUGGUCGUCACAGACGACUGAUGCAGCGACGCCGUGUGUGGGAAGAAGCUUUUCGGAGUGUAAACCAAUGUUAAGAAGGGGCGGCUAACUUCGU